UAGCCAGUUUCUUUGUUCAGUCGGCAAGCAUUUGCUGCACACAGUAGUGCAUUCACGGAUCCACAGGGAAUAGUGUAUGGUCAAGAAAGGAUAUAACUGCCGCAGAGUUCAUAGCCGAUGGCCUGCAACUUUCUAGCACUCCUGAGACAGCCGGGUAACAGACAGCAGCUGAUGCAGAGCGGGGCCUGUGCCUUCUUCUCAUCUGUGACUUUUGGACGGGCUCUGAGUACUGAAAAUGGACCACAGAGCUUCGUUCUUACUUGUGUAUGAUGCCAGCUUUCCAGAAAGUGGAAACAGGAGGAUUUGGACUUCAGGAUCAUCCUCAGUGACACAAGUUCAAGGUCUAUGGAAUACUUCAACAGUGCUUCAACGUGAGCUGGGAGCCUCGUCUACAAAUAAGCGCCAGCUGCCUCUGGGUGCUUGUGCCCAACUGUGACAAUAGGCCAGCUGUGUAGAAAGCUAAGAUUAUCCAUCUGUAUUGCUCAUUUGGCCUUAUGAAUCUCACGUUAAUUCCUGACAAAAACAAAUAUCUGGAUAUUGGCAUUACAUGUUUUUCACUGGCAUAAGACCAAAGACGCUUAAAUGCUAAAGAAAGUUAAUCCUGAAGCAUGAUUAAAGCACAUUUGACCCUGGCA